rnacentral:lncRNA from 1 species
AUCAUACAACAUCACAAAAUUUAUUUAGAAGGCUCAGAAGAGCCUUGCAUAAUAUAUUCAUACAGGUAUGGGUCUCAUGACCCAACACACAAGUCAUACAAGCAAGUUUUCAAACCAAACGGAAGCAUAAGCUCGUCUGAGUACAGAUGGUGAAAACAUAAAAGAAGCACACUGUGUGACUAUGUAGAACCCUCCCAAGGGUUCAGGAUGAUAGCUGGGACACCAACCACUCUACCUCAUCAAUGUCUAGGUAGAACCCACCCAAUGGUUCGUGGGUGUCGUCUGCAACAUUUAUUAAGCAAAGAUUAGUACAAAAGUACCGAGCAAGACUUUAAAUCAUAUCUAACUACUCAUGGACAUGUAUCAACAAGGGGAGUUGUGGGGUUUCAUGCAGCAAGCCAACUUUGACUCUUGGCUAACAUGUACUACGACUAUCAAUACUUUUGAGCAAGUUUGAGAAGUCAUACAUGAGUCCACUAUCUCCACAAUAAUACACUACCAUGGAUCAUUUCUCAUCUUCGUACGAGAAUGCCAUGCAGGGUACUCACACUAGUCUUGAUACUUUUAUGAGUAUCCAUUGAAGUUAUCUAUGAGCAACAUAUGUUUCCAUGUAUUCCAUAUCCGAGGACGAGGCUAUUCUAACAGAUCAUAACCAUGCAGGGAUGUAAUUUUUGACAUGAGCUCUCGCCACUUAUCGCCAUGUGCACCUGAUGCACCUCAGCAAACCUCAAGGGGAAGCCCAAUGAGGGAGUCGGCCACGGCCGUUAAGCAAACUAACACCUAGUCCAUGUUUAUCGCCUACUUGAGAAUGAACCCGCAUGGAAAUCCGGCUGAGGUUUCCGCUAUAGCCUUAAACGAUGUGUGCAGGGUUGCUAAGCCCACCAUCUGGGUGCCACUUGGUACGCCGUUCCACUUCCUAUCGCGUGAUAGCCCACCCCUAAGGUCAGUGCUAUGCACGGCCCUUAGCAUAAACUAUAAACAUCAGAAACUACUUGCAACUCCUGGACAGGUUAUUGGGCGAUUAAUAAGCCAUGAGGGCUUGGAGCGCAUGGAGCCCAAUGCAUUGUAGUAGCUAUUCUAGGAUCACAUACACAGGACUCAGUUCCUAAGAGAGGCUCCAAUGAGACAACCCGCUAUGUACUCAUACACAACCUCUCAUCGUUACCUUUACCGAAUCAGGUUCAUCAUUUAACUUUUGUCACCAAAACACAUGCAUUCACUCCAACUCAUCAUCCAGAUGAAUCGGGCCUGAUGCAACUCUAAGCAUAGCAAGCAUAGCAGGGUAAGUCACAUCAUGGCUUAAGCAUCUACCAGGUAUGCUUGGUUGCUUGGUUUAGCUUUUUACUAUGAAAAUGAUAGGUCAUGCAGAGGAAUGGGUUCAACUACCAAAACUAGUAGCAUUUGAAACAUUGUGUCCUAACGCACUAAAUGAGAGAAGGAGUGAGAACAUGUGAUUGUAUUAGAAUGUUCAAAGGGGUGCUUGCCUUGAUGAUCUUAAGUGGGAAGCUCUUCUUUGUUCUGAUACUCAUAAGUAUCGUGCGGAGCAGGGCCUACUGCAUUGCAAACAAGAUAACAAUCAACACACGGCAAGUGCAAUAAUAUGAUGCAUGACCAUGACAUGAUAUAAAUAUGUUGGAUGAGCUAAUGCAUAUUUCAACAGAUUGUUUGAAGUUCGAUUGAAUGAAAGAUUCAAAUUCCACUUCAAAUAUGGUAUUUUCAAAUACCCUUUAAUUGAUUUGACUUGAUGAAAAGCUAUAACUUCCUCUAACAUGCAUGAUAACAAUACCAAUGGAUUCCUUGGAUUUUUCUGAUAAUUUUUCAUAUAUAAUUUAUUUCAAUUCGAGUUACACAUUAUUUUCUAUGAAUUUUCGAAGUUUUAAGAAAUUUCUGGAACUUCUAGAAUUAUUUCUACAUAGGACAUUAGAGUAAUGCAUCACCGUGGCAUUAGCAUGGCCUCAACACGUCAUGUGCCAUUGCGAGGUCAAACCUGACAUGUGGGGUCCACAUGCCAGUGACCCACGCACUAAACUGAAUUAAAUAAAACUCUUAGUGUUAAUUAACACGGUUGGGACCACUAUUUAGAGACCCAUUAGGUUAACUGAUUAGUUUAUUCAAUUAGUGACUAACUGAAAUAUUAACAAGUUCCUAGCCCCACGUGCGUGUGACCCAUGGGGUCAAAUCCGAUUGUCAACAAGGGCUGGCUCACCAGCUUUGAGCCGCCGGCGACCACACGCAUGGUGGAGUGGCUCGGAAACUUCCAUCGGGCGGAAUCGAUAGCGGAGACCACCUACAUAACAACUGCACACAUGUGUGACUAAUGGGAUAUGCCCUAGGGGCUGAGUUGGCCGGAUGCAUCACCCGCGACGACCUUGACGGACGCCGGAGUUAGGGAGUCAUCGGGAUUGAUGAAGCAUGGUUGAAUCAAGGCAAUCCUCGACACCUAUGAUAUCUACGCGAGCAUACGAACGCCAUGCAUUCACCAGUUGGACCUGAGAGACACCGGAGCUUCGCCGAAGAUGAGCUCCACAUCGCGGAGCUAUUCGAGGAUCGGUCGGAUUAGCAACUACAACUCGAUAUCGAUGGCGAGAGGAGGGGAAUGGGUCUGCAAGCUCACAACGGUGACGACGGCAUAGAUGUAUGGCUCGGGGACGACCUGGAGAUGGUGAAUCGAAGGCGGCAAUCUGCGGUAGCCGAAGAUGAAGAUGAGCUCGAGGUCGUCGAAUGGAGGAGCCUUGCAUCGAUUCCUUCGAUGAAGAGUAGCAGCAUCUCAAGGCAGAGCUAAAGGGCCGCUUGGUGCGAGGGAGAGAGGCGGAGGUAAGCUAGCAACGGAGGCGAGCAUUCGGCUGUGGCGGCAAUGGGAGAACGAAUGGAUCAGGAUGGCUCCCUCCCGAUCAUAUCCGCUUCGCCAGCACGGCGAGGAGGCAGUGCAGGCAGGUAGCCGUGUGCCGGUGGCAACACGUGCAGCGGCUGGCUCCUCGUGUGCCUACUGGUAAGAGGAAGACGACAAGGGCUACUGCAGUGGGCUGGGACACCACUUCACAAGUAAGGGCCAUGUGAGUUCCCCCCCUUCUCUAUUUCUUUUCUCUUUUUCUGUUUCUGCAAUUUAUUUUAUUUUUGGUUUGCGCGACUACUUAAACGAAAAACCUUGAAAAUAAUUAUGGAGUAUAAUUUGAAUAUUUCCCAGGUCCACAAGAAGUUUUAGCAAUUUUGGACAACUGGAAUAUUUAUAAUUCUUUUAUUUGAUAUUUUUAGUGGCUUCUCUAGAUUAUUUCAAAUUCCAAAGUGUUUUAAAAAGAUAAUUCACCUAUGAUAUAUUGUUGCCGACAUUUUUGUGAGAUGGUGAACAUUUUAUAAGGCCAUUUUUGGUUCAUUGAAAAUCACCACUAUUUUGGAAUUGUUUUAUUCAAUGAUGUUUCUAAGGUUUUGUUAGUCCCCAUUUCAAUUUAGCAACAUUUUAAACAUGAUGCAACACACAUGCUAACGAAAUCCAAGUGAAAGACUAUGGAUGUGACAACCAGCGUCGCGAACUGCCACCACGAGCCUAAGAAGAUGGAGACACGUGUCGGAUCGUCCAAUGCAAUGCACCACAAGAUGCAUGCGCGGUCCUCAAGCAGCAGGACAAGCUCCUCGACACGGUCGUCCAAGACGUUGCAGCGACCGAGCACCAGAACCGGGCUGCUCUCAUGCAUGGCGGCAAUGCUAGCACCGUGGGUUACCGGGCCUUCACCCGCGAACUUCGCAUGGUGGCGUGGCCAGCUAAGUUCCAGCCUCACCUGCCCCCACGCUAAGAUAGAUCCCUCGACCUUAUAGAGUUCCUCGAGCUCCGUGCUCUGAGCGUCGAAGCGUCAGGCAGCGACAACUAGGUCACGGCGAACUGGUUCCUGAUGGCGCUCAAGGACGACGCAUGGUCCUGGCUCCUAAACCUGCCCGAUGGCUUGGUCCCUUCAUGGAGCGACCUCCGCGAGUUGUUUGUCGCCAACUUCAAGGGCAUGCAUGACACCCUCUCUCCAUCAACGACGUGCGCCACGUGAAGCAGCGCCCUCGCGAGACCCUCCACAAGUGCAUCCAGAGGUUCAACCAGGUGCGCAACAAAAUCCCGCGCCCACGGACGAGGUCGUCAUCAUGGCAUUCACCAACCACGUCAAGGACCUCAAGAUGUGCAACAAGCUCUACGUCAAUGACGUCGCGAGCCCGGCCAUGGAGCUGUUCAACUUGGUCGACAAAGUGCACCAACGCUGAAGAAGGCUGCCAGUUCGCCCGCGACAACCCCGACGACAUGCCUGAGGAUGCCAAGGCCAAGACUAAGGAGGUCAAGCGCAAGGGACCCGCCGUGCUCGUGGCUGAACCCGAGCAGAAGUGCAGCCAUGAGUGGGGCAUCCCCGAGAAGGAGCGCUGCCCAUUCUGCAUCUACCACGACAUGCACACCCACAACACCGAAGAUUUCCAGGAGCUCAGGAUCCUUUGGUAUGAGCGGGUUAGCCAGCUCCCGGAGCACAAGGGCCGUGGUGCCAGUUGCGGCGGCGGCAGAUCGGACAACUGCAACGACAACCUUCGCCGGGGUUGGUACGAGCAGCCUCGCUACAACGACUCGCGCGAUCUGCCUCGCAAGAUGUGCCCUCGGGACAACAGGUAGCUCCCCCCGCUUCCUCCAUCGCCUCUGAGGAGGCAUGAGGACAACCAGCAUGACGAGGAGGUUGGGGCCUACGAGGAGCCUCGCGCGUUGGCCUGCGUUCUCGGCGGGGCCCACACCCCCUCAUUGAACCAUCGGUUCAAGAACCUCUCCUGCGAGGUGAACGCCAUUUUCCUGAUGCCAGUGGUUGCGAAGCCCCUCAAGUUGUCCCAGUAAGCCAUCACUUUUGACACAAAGGACAGUCUGAAGUCUAAUGCUGUCGCGGGGCACGCUCCCCAUGAUGGGCAAUCCCACCAUCAACAACGUGGGAGUCACCAAGAACCUCAUCGAUAGGGGUGCGGGCCUCAAUGUUCUCUCUGUCGAAACCUUUGACACGCUACUGGUGCCGUACGACUAACUGAUGCCGCCCAAGCCGUUCUCAGGGGUGACAAAGGGCUCCACCAUUCCAACGGGGCAGGUCUGCCUUCCGGACACCUUCGGCACGCGCGACAACUAUCACAACGAACACAUCGACUUUGACGUUGCUCGCCAUCCCUGGCUACCCCGCGCUAGCCAAGUUCAUGGUCGCGACCCACCACGGCUACAACGUCCUCAAGAUGUCGGGUUGCAGUGGCAACAUCGCCAUCGCAUGCUAUGAGAGGGAAGCGAUCUGCUCCCUAGAGCGUGCUUACAGGGCUUCUACCACAGAGCGCUCAGACGAUGCCGGAGGCGAUGUUCCUCGCAAGGCCGCACCUCCGAGGAAGAGGCAGUCGCUGAGCGCCUUUAGCUCUGCAAAGGCAAAGGAUCCAGUGGUCGAGGCCAAGGUCACAAGCCCCACGUGUUCCACGGGUGCUUUCAUUCUUCCAGCAUAGGAAGGCACGCCCAGUGCCUCCCUCAUGUCGGGCUCGGGUGUUUCCACCUGGAAGGCAUCCGACCUGGCUGCUGCACUGAGAGAGGUGUUUGGGCACCACCUGGAGGAGCGCCUCAACACGUGCCCUCACGAGCGAGAAGUACAACGUCAGGCGCCGGUGGCUCAGCAGUUCAUCGCCCAGGAGAUGGAUAGGUCGCGGGAGGCGCACACCAUGCGCGACGGGCACCGCACGGAGGGCUACCUCAGGAGGCUCAUCACUCCCGAGGGCACCAUGGUGACGCGCAUCUGCGUUGACAUCGCGGGGCUUAGCAGGGUCGGUUCCUCGAGUUCCUGCUAUCCUGAGCGGGGCUGGACCGAUGCGCCCAUGCUCGUCGCGCUUGUAUGCCUUUAGGACUUAAGAACACCACAAUCGCCUUCCAAAGGCUCGCACUGCUCGCACAGGCGCCUCGCAUGGCGUCCGGGCCCCGCCAUCCCACAAGGCCCCGGGAGGAAGUAGACCCCUAAGAAGAUCGACUGUCAUGACGCGCAUCAUCCAGUGAGCUAGAGCUCCAACAACAACGCGGUCGCCCGGUGAAGUUCCAUCUCAUCUGAGAUCAAGGGCGCCCUUCAAUCUCCCCUACACUCAGGCAUGAGGGCCCGCCCUCGCGAAGUUCAUGCUUUUUGGUUGUGUUGUAAAAAUUUGUUGUUUCCCUUCAAAACUUAUGUUGUUUGCUUGAAAUGCAUCAAUGCUGGUUUGGCGCUUCGUUGCCUCGGGCACUAUGAGACGGAUGAUUUUUGCUUGAUAAUUCGAUGAAGGAGCCUGUCACGACUUCUGUGCUCGGGUUUGUCCAUGUAGCUCUAACUGAAUGGCUUACGCCUGUAUACAUCACCUCCUGGGGCCCUCGAUGCCUAACAUCUCCGUGCAGUAGCAUCGCAACGGUCACCCAACGGAUGCUGCCCCCUUCGUGUUGCAUGUUCCGUGAGCGUUCUAAUGCGUAAAGAAUGAGGUGCAACCUUCCUGAAGGCUGAGGCUAGGAGCUCCUAAGCCUUGUGCCUGGGGUAUGCGACACCUUAAUGAAUUGCCGCGCGUGACCCUCUCAUGUAAUAAUGAAUGUUGGGGUUGUACACGCCCCGGGGGCCUCCUAAGCAUAACCUCGUGAUGAGCCAUGUCCUGGUCACAAUGGAGGCCCCCGCCCAUACCCAAGUUGAAGUCCCCAUGCUCCGUGUUGGCCGAAUUAAUAUCGAACCACGACUAUGCCCACGCCCAAGUGGAAGCCCCAUGCAUCGCGCUCAGGGAGGAUCGUCGGAGCUCCAUGCUCGCCAUCUUCUCUUUGUACCUCGCACGGGCGGGGGCUAGGACACGGUGCCUGUGCUCGGGUUCGUCCCUACGGCACUGAAAAACGCAAGCGGUCGAGCUCUGUCUUGUGGGCUUACCCUCGCGCGCGUCACCUCCAAAGGUCCUUGGUGUCUAGUUCCCGGGCGACACCUAAGCGCAAGCAGGCAGGGGCACGGAGCUCUGACCAAUUCGCCCGUAUGAGAGCCGCUUGCAGGUCAAGGCGGGUGUCUGAGCAUCGCGACUCAGGACCUUCACUACUCUAUAGCCUCACACCCCCUAGUAAUCAAGUGAUAGUUGAGAUACGCGCAGGGUUGGGCCCUAUCGAUGCAGAGUUCAAGGCCUUCAUCACUGACCGGGAAUUGCUUGCGCAUCAAGUGGGGGUGCCUAAAGCAUCGUGACUCACGACCUUUACUGGUCCUAUAGCCUCCCACCUCCUUUCAAUCUAGUGGCUGGUGAGAUAUACGCGUAGGGUUGGGCCAUGCUGACAUAGAGCGCAAAGUCUCCACAUGGUAAGUACUAGGGCUCUCAAGGGAGUCGCUUGCAUGUCAAGGGGGUGCGUGAGCAUCGCGAUUCAGGACCUUCAUUAGCCCUGUAGCUUGUCACCUCCUGGUAAUCUAGUGGCAGUUGAGAUACACACAGGGUUGGGCCCUGCCAAUGUAAAGCCCCAAGGCUUCUAGAGGAGAACGUUAGGGCCCUCAAGGGGGCCGCUUGCGCGUAAAGGGGGGGGGGGGGGAGCAUCGCAACNNNNNNNNNNNNNNNNNNNNNNNNNNNNNNNNNNNNNNNNNNNNNNNNNNNNNNNNNNNNNNNNNNNNNNNNNNNNNNNNNNNNNNNNNNNNNNNNNNNNNNNNNNNNNNNNNNNNNNNNNNNNNNNNNNNNNNNNNNNNNNUAAAGGGGGGGGGGGGUGAGCAUCGCAACUCAAGAGCUUCACUGGCCCUGUAGCCUCUCACCUCCUAGUAAUCUAGUGGCGGUUGAGAUAUGUGUAGGGUUGGGCCCUGCCGAUGUAGACCGGCAAGGCUCCUGAGGGGAACACAAAGGUCCCUAAGUGUGUCAGUUGUGUGUCAAGGGUGGGCGGUGCAUGAGCAUCAUCACUGAGGACCUUCACUGGCCAUAUGGCCUCUCACAUCCUAGUAAUCCAGUGGUUGAUGAGAUACUAGCAGAGUUGUGCCCUACCAACGUAGAGCAGGAAGACAAGCAAGAGAAAACCCUAGCAAGGAGAUAGACAUUAUGAAUUGCGGGCAGUUACUACAGAUUUCGAAUUGUUCCAUACAAUAAAAGGUGAUGCCUGAUGCCUGCUCGAGGCAAGGAUAAUCUGUUGCACAGCAAGGCAGGGGGAUCCUCGCCGAACUCCUCAUCAUUGUCAUGGGGGAACUUCUAGAGCAGCGUAUGGACGUGGCCAUCCACGUCGGUAGCCAAGUCACCGCAGGACUCCUCACGCACAAAGCCCAUCACCCAUUCGAACUCGAAGUGGGGAUCGUGAAGCAGGAGGUGGCUGAAGACGCGGGUCACAGCCACGGAGAAUGGUCUGGACACUCCUCCUCUAGGAUGUUGUCCACCUUCUUGGCGGAGACGAUGUCCUGAGGAACGACGGGAACCUCGAGCUCCAACCUGCUGAUGGAUCUCACAAUUUGAUGGGCCCUGAGGUCCAGAGAAGAAAGCGUAGCAUGGUCCGCUGCAGCCUUUGCGUCAGUAGCGGCCCGGGUCUCCUCUUCCCAAGUGGCCAACUUGGUGUUGGCCUCGGAGACUUGCUUUGCAUGGGCGUCCCAAGGUUCAUCAACCUUGCACUAAACCACCUGCAAGCACCCACGCUCCGCGACCUGCUCGGGUGCCGCCCUUGCUAGGUUGGAGUCACGUUCGGCGAGCUUAGCCUCGCUGGCCUUGGUGGCCUCCUGAAGCACCUUUAAACCGGCCUCUUCUUCUUCACUGCGCGCCUUCAAAGCCUGGAGGGCGCUUCCUUCCCAGCAAGGGUACUCGCGCAAGCAGUCUUUGCCUCGGCGGCCUCCCGCCGGCCCUCCGUGCAGACGACCUCGGUCUCUCCUCUGACUUCCUUGGCGGCGACAUCGAGUUGGCGCCACCUCGUGGUGAACCUCUCAUGCUCUGCAGCCUGACGCGCCUCAGCAUCCCGAAACAACUCCUCGAGCCGGGGGAGGAGGCUCAAGGCAUCAGUCAGGGCCCACGCCGGAGAAAGGCAUUCGUGCCCGUUGGGACGAAGGCCUUUGGAGAUUCUGCCACCUUGGCUCUAUCCGUUUCUGCAACGAGAGCGGCCUCGACACCCUGUGCUUGGGGUGCUAGGGGCUCUGGGUCCUUCCCCACUCCGAGCGUCCGCGUUGUGCUCACGAGGGUCAUCGCCCCCGCCUCCAAGGCACCGGCGGAGACCACAGCUUCACCCGUUGGCGCCUAGGCUGAACCGACACGGCCUCUGCCAGCGAAGUCGGCGACAGGGCCGCUGCAUCGAAGAUGCAGAGAUGCUUGUGCGCUCGAGUAUGGCGCCCGACUUGCACGAUCUACCUCCGUGUCGGUUGAUACCCCUAUCGAGAGAUGAAGUAGCCCUCGAGACCCGUGUCACCUUCUCCCUAGCUAUCGCCUUCUUCUUCUUUUCCUCGCCACUGCAAGGGAACUUGCUCCAGAGAAGAGACGUCCUAAGCAGACUAGUCGCAGAUAAAUAGCUUGAGGACAAGCCAAUGUACUUACUCCUCCCUGGCGGCGCACUUUCUCUUCUUCUCGACAGCGGGCGGUGCAUCUUCGCCACCCUUGUGCACCACCCCAUCGCCACCAGAGGGGCGAUUGAU